rnacentral:tRNA from 1 species
CGGGUAUAGUUUAGUGGUAGAACGUAUCCUUGCCAAGGAUAAGACGGGAGUUCGAUUCUCCCUACCCGC